GGGUGCGUAACGCGUAUGCAAUCUGCCUUUUACAGAGGGAUAGCCCAGAGAAAUUUGGAUUAAUACCUCAUAGCAUAGCAGGCAUGGCAUGCAACCAGCAAUUAAAGUCACAACGGUAAAAGAUGAGCAUGCNUCCCAUUAGCUAGUUGGUAAGGUAACGGCUUACCAAGGCUACGAUGGGUAGGGGUCCUGAGAGGGAGAUCCCCCACACUGGUACUGAGACACGGACCAGNCUCCUACGGGAGGCAGCNGUGAGGAAUAUUGGACAAUGGGCGCAAGCCUGAUCCAGCCAUGCCGCGUGCAGGAUGACGGUCCUAUGGAUUGUAAACUNCUUUUGUACAGGAAGAAACACUGGUUCGUGAACCAGCUUGACGGUACUGUAAGAAUAAGGAUCGGCUAACUCCGUGCCAGCANNNNCGGUNAUACGGAGNAUCCAAGCGUUAUCCGGAAUCAUUGGGUUUAAAGGGUCCGUAGGCGGUUUAAUAAGUCAGUGGUGAAAGCCCAUCGCUCAACGGUGGAACGGCCAUUGAUACUGUUAAACUUGAAUUAUUAGGAAGUAACUAGAAUAUGUAGUGUAGCGGUGAAAUGCUUAGAGAUUACAUGGAAUACCAAUUGCGAAGGCAGGUUACUACUAAUUGAUUGACGCUGAUGGACGAAAGCGUGGGUAGCGAACAGGAUUAGAUUCCCUGGUAGUCCNCGCCGUAAACGAUGGAUACUAGCUGUUGGGANCAAUCUCAGUGGCUAAGCGAAAGUGAUAAGUAUCCCACCUGGGGAGUACGUUCGCAAGAAUGAAACUCAAAGGAAUUGACGGGNNCCCGCACAAUCGGUGGAGCAUGUGGUUUAAUUCGAUGAUACGCGAGGAACCUUACCAAGGCUUAAAUGUAGAUUGACCGGUUUGGAAACAGAUCUUUCGCAAGACAAUUUACAAGGUGCUGCAUGGUUGUCGUCAGCUCGUGCCGUGAGGUGUUANGUUAAGUUCUAUAACGAGCGCAACCCCUGUUGUUAGUUGCCAGCGAGUNAUGUCGGGAACUCUAACAAGACUGCCAGUGCAAACUGUGAGGAAGGUGGGGAUGACGUCAAAUCAUCACGGCCCUUACGCCUUGGGCUACACACGUGCUACAAUGGCCGGUACAGAGAGCAGCCACUGGGCGACCAGGAUCGAAUCUAUAAAACCGNNCACAGUUCGGAUCGGAGUCUGCAACUUGACUCCGUGAAGCUGGAAUCGCUAGUAAUCGGAUAUCAGCCAUGAUCCGGUGAA
rnacentral:rRNA from 1 species